rnacentral:rRNA from 1 species
ACUGGUAGCCAUGCUGCCCUGGUCAUGCCCAAUCUUGUCCUGUCUCUGAAAGUAGGCAGGACCAGGCCUGGUUAGCACUUGGAUGUGGGGGGACCUGGGAAUACCAGGUGCUGCAGCUA